rnacentral:lncRNA from 1 species
AAAACGAUCCAACGGUCGAAACCGGUAAGAAAGUUUGAAAAAACACUGGUAGUAUGGCCAGCGGAUACGAGGUCAGUUGCGAAGAGGUGCUAACGAGGAAGCGACGUGGCUCCUCGUGCUAUGGGUGCGAGGCACGGCCCACGCACCUCUUGGCUCAUCGUACCCGUUGUCCGACCUCGGCUCCUCUGGGCUCAUCACACCUGUGGUCCGACCUCGACCUCGACUCUUCGCGCUUCAGUUGAGGUGGGUCGGACGAGCACAGGCACACAGAACCUCGGACGAGCAGGGGCAGGGCCCAGCGAGCACAAGCACAUGCGCAAAGAACCUUCGCUCGGACAAGCACAGGCACAGCUCGGCUGCAGAGAACCUCGGCUCGGACAAGCACAUGCACAGAGAACCUCGGCUCGGACAAGCACAGGCCCAACGAGCCGCUCGGCUCGGACAAGGAGGGAACAUCCCAACGAGCACAAGAAAACCAAGCUUUACGUAAUAGAAAUAAAAAGGAGGGAAUGGGAAUCGAACCUGUUAUCUCAUCCCCACUCAAACAACACACCAACCACCAAGCCAAACUCCCUUAUUAACAUAUAUGUAUAAUAUAUAUAUUUUAAGUAUGAAAACU